AGUCUAGCUUGCUUCUUGUCGACUACAAGCCACUGCGUUCUCAAGUUCAGCAAUGUCUUGAGAAAAAGAACUGGUUAUGAAAUCUUAACAGAAAAGAGGCAGUAAAUCGCUUCUCUCUGUUUGGGGGCUGUUCUCAGGCUGGAAUGGCUGCCACUUUGCUCUGGUUCUCACCUGGGAUACAGGAGAUUUCCUGCUGCUGACGCCUGGCUGGGGCAGGCUGGGCAGGUGAUGGCUAUGCACCACAUGGAUUUAGGGUUGAAAUUUUAAAAAUGAAAAUAAGAAGAAACUCAAGAAUUUGUAGAAGGGAUUUUGCUAAUUUGACUUCGGCUUCUGAGUUUUGAUCUUAGUUUGGAUACAUGCCCGGUGUUGAAAGAGCUUUACACGGAGAAUCAGAAGAACUGAGUUGUUCACACAUGAGGCAGGAGGGCAGGAGGCAGGGCACAACCAUUGAAGGAGUGACACAGCAAUUGAGGACGAACUAGUUAGAACCAAGACGGCAGAAGGUUUGACUUCCAGUAGACCUUGAGCCUCAUGGCACACCCACAGGCACCAUGACAGGCCCCAGGCUGAUAGUAAAAGGUCAAAAGGUGGGCGGGGCUGAAUUCCUGGAAACCCCACCACCUUCCCCAGCAUAGUUGGGAUAAUCAUCCCACUCAUUAGCAGAUGAAAUUACCCAGCGCAGAAGAACUAACAGCCCCACACCUCGUGGCGUCUCUCCCUCUCACGGUUUGAGAUGGCCCGCGUUCUGCCUAUGAAUCUCCCUGAAUAAACUUGCUUUCACUUUACUAUGAUUCACUCUUGAAUUCUUUCCUGUGUGAGACAAGAACCUAUUCUCCAGCAACACAGAGGGGUGAUUCAGACGAAUUCCUUAGAGCUUCUCAGUGAUUUACUGGUAUUUUGGAAACUUAAGCACCAAGUCACAUGGAGAGCCCCGGACAUGAGUGGAAGAUUAUUUUACCCUACUUUUAUUAUCUGCAUGAAGCACAACUGUUGGAUUCAAGAUAAGUGAUUUAUUAGAUGUGAAGACACAUUUCUCCUUCUUUCUGAUGCCAGAACAUUCCAAGACUGAAGGAAAAAACGGCAACAAAACAAGCUGAAGGCACAGUGAGAAGACGGCUGUCUGCAAACCGGGAGGAGAGCCCUCACCAGGAACUGA